rnacentral:lncRNA from 1 species
AAAGGCAAGAAGAGGCAGGGCGGUGGUUCGGGUGGCCAGUCGAGCUCCAGGAGGCCCCCGAAGUAUCCACGCUCACAACCCGAGGGUCGGGGUGCUGAGCGGUGUGUUAUUUGCGGCGGUGACCACCAGCCGGGUGUGUGUGAUCAUCGCCGAGGGAGGUGCUUCAAGUGCGGGCAAGCGGGACAUCAGAUCCGCGACUGUCCUCAGGGAGGAGCUUCGCCCGCUAUGUCGACUGCAUCGGCCCCGGCAGUUCCAGCUCGCUAUGCUCUACCCCCUCCUGCAGCAUCUACUGGGCGAGCGGCGGCGCCACGCCAACCAGAUCCUGCACGAUCUGCGCCGAGCGGGAGGAUGUAUGCCGCUCCAGUGCACAUUGAGGAGCCUUCUGAUGCCGGCGAGCGCAAUGUUGUGGCAGGUAUAAUUUUGGUUAAAGAUGUUCGAGCUAGAGCUCUAUUUGAUACAGGCGCAUCACAUUCAUUC